UCUGAGGCUUUACUGAAGUGUGUCAUAUGAAAUAACGAUCGAAGUAUGUUUGUUCUUGACAUGUCUUGAGCGUAUAAAAGUAAUGGUUUACUCCUUUAAGUUUCCUGCUUUCUUAGUCGCAUUUGCGCAAAUAUCAUCUGUUUCUCCUUUUGUGCGAGAGGGACAUCUUAAUCUGGAUGGUUAUAAUUUUGCUUUCCUUGCAAGCUUCUGUGGCAACUACACCGGACCCGCUGUUCAGUAUAAUAUUUCAUAUCCCCAGAUAAAUUGUUGUAUCAGCCUUUUGAGUUAUUUUGAAGACCAAUGGUGGAAAAUAUGGCCUCGCCCUGAACUGGAUUGUAGCAGGAAAGUAAACAGUUUGGAUCUGAAUGGAAGCCAGGUUGUGAAUCUGACCACAAACAACUCCCGCACAUAUUGUCAUCUUGUCCCUUUUGAAAAUGGUUCCCUGGUUAUGUCUUGUUAAGGUUGUCAGACGUAUAAAGUAAGUACUGAAGAACCUUCCACACAGAAGUGUUGGUAUCUAGCAGUUUCAAACUGUUAUUCUGGUUCAAAGGGACUCAAGCUGGAUUAUUCUCUCAAUAUAACUGGAGCAUCACCAAACAAGGCAUCAGACACAUUUCACCACCUAAGCUGGCUGUGUGGCCUGUUUAUAAACUGUUUUAUGAUCACCUGGGUGUCUUAGACAUCCACCGCUCACCGACGGACCUUUCGUCGCAGGAAAGGAGAUAAAGUCUUUUCGUGGUUUAAAAUUACGUCGUUACGUUUGAGUUUGCGUUUGUUUGUUUGUUUGUUUCUUCGCAUAAGGCUAGGUCUUAGGCUGGUGUUUUGCGAGGAAUAAUGGUACUCCUGAAAUCUCGACUCUGAGAAUUAAUAAAGUUGCUUUUUGGUCAGUA